AUUGAACGCUGGCGGCAUGCCUUACACAUGCAAGUCGAACGGUAACAGGUCUUCGGAUGCUGACGAGUGGCGAACGGGUGAGUAAUACAUCGGAACGUGCCCGAUCGUGGGGGAUAACGGAGCGAAAGCUUUGCUAAUACCGCAUGCGAUCUACGGAUGAAAGCAGGGGACCGCAAGGCCUUGCGCGGACGGAGCGGCCGAUGGCAGAUUAGGUAGUUGGUGGGAUAAAAGCUUACCAAGCCGACGAUCUGUAGCUGGUCUGAGAGGACGACCAGCCACACUGGGACUGAGACACGGCCCAGACUCCUACGGGAGGCAGCAGUGGGGAAUUUUGGACAAUGGGCGCAAGCCUGAUCCAGCCAUGCCGCGUGCAGGAUGAAGGCCUUCGGGUUGUAAACUGCUUUUGUACGGAACGAAAAGACUCUUUCUAAUAAAGAGGGUCCAUGACGGUACCGUAAGAAUAAGCACCGGCUAACUACGUG
rnacentral:rRNA from 1 species